UUGAAUGUUCAGGGAGUGUGUGUGGAAUGAAUUUGUGGGCUGCAAGGAGCCCCCUACCGGACUGGCAGGAGUGGCUCUAUCUUCACACUUGAAAAGUGCAGUCUUUAGACUCGUGGCCUGCUUCUUCUUUGGCUCGCCAUCAAAAAUC